CAUUUUCUACUUGGAAUUCACCCUAAGAAGGAAGUAAGGCAACUAGUUGGGAUUCAUUUUCUACUUUCUACAUUCCAAUUCAUUUUCUUUUGCCCGGUUAGGGUGAAUUCAUUUUUUCAUUUUUCCUCUCAGAAAUCGAUGUCUUCUCUGGUAACAAUUUGAUUUCCUUCGACUUUCCUUUUCGAUUCGUAUUAUUCUUCAAUCUUUUUGUUCGAAUCUUUCCUUUUUGAUUUUCUGCGAUUCGUAUUAUUCUUCAAUUUUUCCUUUUCGAUUCGUAUUAUUCUUCAAUCUUUCCUUUUUGAUUUUCUGCCAUUGGAUUUAGCACUUCUUCUCUCAAAUCGAAAAAUCGUUCCUCUUCUCUCAAAUCGUUCUUCUUCUCCUUUGGAAUCGAUUUUAUUCAUCCAAUUUUGUUCAAUUUCGUUUGUCGUCUCACAAAAUCGUAAAAAUUAAGUUUCAAAUCGUUCUUCCAUCCCAAUCUCAAGUAAAUUUCGUUCUUCCAUCACAAUUUCUUCGAAAUCCAUUUCACUGGAUUAUCAGGCUCUAUAAAUGAAACCUUUUAUUCCAUUGAAUGAUACCUUUUAUUCUUCCAGAUUAAUAUUGCUCUAUAAAUUGUUCUAUACAUGUCUCCUAUAUAUUUGAAAGAGAACACACUUGUAUUAUGUUGAGCCUCAAGGAGUAGAGUAGUAGCCUCAAGGAGUUGUGUCUUCUGAAGGUUUAUCUUUACUCAAAGUUGGUGGAAGAAUGGUUUAUUCAACAUGCUCAAUGAAUCCUAUUGAGAAUGAAGCUGUGGUUGCAGAGGUAAUCUACUUUGAGUGCUAUAUAGUCUAUACUUUUAUGUAGUCUUGCUAGUCGCUGGGUUGACAUAGAAAAGUGCUUUAGCAUAGUAAUUUGAAAACAAUUAAGCAAGUAUAGGCUUGCAAAUUUCGGCCACAAAAAAACUGCAACACGUUUUUCUUGCAUAAUUUAUUUUAUUGUCGUCGUGUCUCAGCUUAGCCCCAAAAUCAGUUCAUUCCUAUUUCACUGGCAUAGCGUAUGCCUAGCUCAUGGUUACUAAGGUGAGGUGGUUGUUUGAAUUGCAGCUAUUUUGGGUUUAUUCUCCUAUUACCCCUGACUAGCCUUCUACCCUCACUCCCAACAUUUUAUUAAUAGUAUGAGUGCUAAGUGAUAACUGUUCUGGUAGUAAAUCAGUAGGAAAUUGUGAGAACUUAUGGUGGGGGAGAAUACACCUGAAAAGAGUUUGAAAAGUUUUGUUGACCAAGGCAUCCGAUACGAGGUAACUGUUCCUUACACCGCUCAACAUAAUGGAUUAGUAGACAAAAGAAAUAAAAUAGUCCUAGAUAUGGUUAGAAGCAUAUGAUGAAACAAAGAAAUGUGCCUCAUUGGUUUUGGGGUAAGGCAGUAACCAUUGCAGCCUAUGUCCUAAAUAGAAGUCCUACAAGAAGAAUUAAGAAGGAAGUGUGGUCCAGAAGAAAGUCAAGUUAUCAGGAAAAUGGUAUUCUAGUAAUUCAGAAUUGUUCUAGUUGGGAUUCUAUCAAAGCCAAAGAUAUUAUGAAAUAUGAUAUGAUCAUAUGACCCUCUUCCAAUAUUUUUA